rnacentral:lncRNA from 1 species
AUAAAUCUAAUAUUAGUUUCAUGUAUAUUUUAUAUGUAUCUAAUAUCAAUUUCAUACAUUAUAGCCAAAAACAUGUAUCUCAAAUAUAUAGUAAACAUAUACAUCUAAUUAAUAUAUGAACUAUACUUGAUUGUUAGGAGUAAAAUGGUUGACUAUUCAUUACCUAGUGAAGGGAGAGUUACUGAUAAGGAUGGAGAUUGGGGGAAGUUAACG